UUCACUGCCAUAUUCCUAGGGACAAGUAAAGUUCCCUGUAUAUUGUAGGAGCUAAGUGUUGAAUGAAUGAAUGGUGGCUGCUAUUAUUGCUUCACCUUCACCCUCCAAGAGUAAUCUCCCCAUUCUGGUUUAUAGUUUCUGUGCUCACUGCUUGUGAUAAUCGUGUCUCAGGGGAGCUUUGUGCCUUGAUGGAUCAAGUUCAUCAUAUGCAGCACUCAAAAUGGCAGCAUCCUUCGGACCUCACCACGCGAAACUACGCCCGCCGACAGAAACAUCUGCAAAGAUACAGUCUGACUCAGUGGGUUGACAGGAACAUGCGAAGCCACCAUCGGUUCCAGCGUCUCCCAGACUUCUCGUACAGUUAAUUUGUGUCAUCCCAUCAGCAGUGAAGGUCCCUAUCCAGGGUCCUGCUUGGAGCAGCAUUUCAUGUUCUUUUGCUGUUUUGUGCUUUUGCCGAUUUUGGAUUUUAUUUUUCACAAGAUUUUUAUUUAAAAAACUGGUC
rnacentral:sRNA from 1 species